GUUGAACUAACUGCAAACUUUGGCAAAGAGGAAGUUUUACUGUGUCAAUUUAUUAUAGGUGGAAAGUCAACAUUUGCUGAGACACCUUACUCCACAUGACUAUUGUAGAGUAGACAGAGUAAGUUGUGGAGAUGUUAUUAUCUGGUAAUAGAGAUCCUGUUGGUACUUGUUUUAGGAUGCAUUCGGUUAAUGGCAGAUGUGUGUUCAAUUAUCUGAAUCAGCAUUUCAACGAAGAAGGAGUGUUGUGGUGGACAACACAAAUCUUGAUGUAGAGUCUCGUGUCAGAUACAUAAAUGUUGCUGUGCAUGCUAAUAUUCCUGCAAGGUGCUUUGUUUUAACAACAAGUUUGGAACAGUCAAAGCACAAUAGCAAAUUUCUUGGUCUUUGUUCAUCUUCUCAACCUGAUCACAACCCUGUGGACGAACUUGCUUAAAACAGCUAUAGGCAGAUCAAAGUUUGUGAAACCAUCAAUCUUUGAAGAAAACCUCUGGAGAUCAUUAAUAUCAAUUUUAUUCCACAAUUCAAAUGUGAGAGUGACAGGAAACUAUCCUAAUUUUUUUGUCUAAAUGGUAAUGUCAAUAGCA